AUUAACUGAGACUACUGAGUUACAAUGAGACCAGUAUCAACAAUUUCAAAAAGGUAUUGUACAAAAAUAUUACAAACAUAAGACACUUUAAAGACAGAAAAAACACGAAGUAUGUCACUACAGAAACUGUAUUCUGUGAUAUAGAUGAUAUUGCUUUAAAGAAACUUGCAGCUUUUAGCAGUUGUGUGAGGGCCUGUUUAUAUCGAAACUGGCUGGCCUGCUAAGUGAGACAGCCCGGUAAGUGAGAUCUCGCUGUCUAGUUAUUUUUAUAGUACAAAUUAUCAUUUCUAUGGACAAGCGGGCAGGCCCGGUUGCCAAGACCAGGAUGGAAAUUUCUCCACAUAAACAAUCAUAAGCAGGCUAGCCCGGUUGCCGGGAUGAAAGUUCAAAGAUACAGCCGCAAGCUAUUUUUGACAACUGUCAAAAUAAUGUCAAAACAACAAAAUUGUCCCGGUAAGCGGAAUGAAAUUUUCUCAAAUAAACACAAGAGAAAUCAUCCUGCUUACCUACCUUACCGGGCUGUCUUGCUAAGCGGGCCAGCCCGGCUUCCAUACAAACAGGCCCUAACAGUCUCUGUCAGGCAAUUACAAUGUUCUAAUGUCCAAACUCUAAAGUAUUAUAAACAAGCAGAACAGACCACUUAUUGCAAGUUGUUGUAAGUCAUAUCAACAUGUGAUCUCGACAAUAUACAGUGUAUAAACUAAAGUAAUUCAGCUUCUACACAUGAAGCGACUUUAAACACUAUCCUUACACUUUAUCAAUUCAUUGAAGUUUGUUUUUGUACUUAAAAGACAUUUUAUUUGUAGUAUUAAAUCAUAAGACAUAUUCUAUUUGUAGUAUCAAGUCACAUCAGGAUUUUAUAAUCUAGCGUCUUUGGACCCAAG